AGAAAAUCUACCAAGAGAAAGGUUAGCUGUAUUACUGUUAGCUCUGUGGGAUGCCACUUGUCUUAAUGAUCAAUUUACUGGUGUGACACGUAGCGGAGAUCCUAGGCAAACUGCAGGCAGUGCCAUCUUACAAGCAAUUGAUUGUCAAACUUAAGCAAGUCAAGAUCCCACAGAAAGCAGGGAACUGGGGAUGGAGGGUGGGGUGGAGCGAACAAAUGAAUCUGUGUGCUUACCCAAAAUAUAUUAUUUAUGAAAAAAAUAAAUCAAAGCCUUUCAUCUUCUGGGCUGGUGGACAGACUGAGUCCAAUGCCCAGAAGCCACACAGUAGAACUAGAGCCGAGCAAAUGCCUCUCAGGCCCCCACAUGCACACAUGUGGGCACAUAAAAACAACGAAUGAAUGUGAGUUUUUCUAAGUCAGAAACACAAAGCUCUUCGGUAUUCAGGAAGCUUUAGCUCUAUGUCAUUCCAAUCCGGGGUUUUUACGCUGAGGGCAGCUUGAUCCCUCCUGGGAAUAUUCAGUAGGGCCUGGAGACAUUUUGGUUGUCACAACAUAUAAGGGUCCUGACACAUGUCCUCUUCUGCCAAGAACCUAUGACCAAGAAUCCCCUCGCCCGAUCGGUGGUGCCUGGGCUGAGAAACCCUUUCUCGAGUCAGUUUUCAUUAACUAAGUGUGGUUUCUUUUUAUAUUCCCCAUCUUGUCUCAUUCUCACAAACCUUCACUAGAUGCUCACGGAAUGCUGGCCUUUGCACAAGGGCAUGUGAUUGCCCUUACUUUCUGGCCUUGGUUCCUCUGCACACCAAGGAAGCCUAUAGCACUAACUGUCCCUGAGGCCCAUGGGAAGGGGGACGAGUCAUUAUCACCCUGCUUUGAGGAGCCUCCACCAGCCUGUCUCUACAGACUGACAAGAAUAUAGCGCUUGAGGACAUUUUAAACACAUUUAAACACUUUACCCCAAAGUGUGCACAGUGUCUUUUUAAAUCUCCAGCUUUCAUAUUUUGAUUGACAAGGAGAAAUAGUUUUGAGCAAAUAACUACUGCUUCUAAGUCUUUUCUAAGUAUCUCUAGUAUUUGUAAUUAUGUUUAUUAUGUGCGGAGGGAGGUUCUGGGCCAGCAGAGGCGACAGAUCUCCCCACGAUGGUAUCAGGGAUGAUGAAUGGAACCCAGGACCUGAACUCAGGUCGUCUGCAAGCACGGGAAGCACCUUUAACCACUGGACCAUCUCUCCAGUUCCCUGAGUCAAAAUGUGCCCCCUAGGGUCAAGCCAGAGGAAAUUCCCUGAAGAGAGCCUUCAGGUCUAACUUUAACACCAGCAGGUGAACAGCAUAAAACACAGCAAAGCCUAAAACUCCCUAGGCUUUGCAGUUGUCUCCUGCUCGCAGCAAGCCGGGCUCCACUCCUGACAGGACAGGAAGGCAGGCUGAGACAGAGCUCAUUCUAACGUCUGUCCUGACAUCAGGUUCGCUUGGUGAGUAGCAGUGGAAGACUCGAACAGUUCUGUACAACCGUAACUCUCUCCUCCCUUUCAACACUAAAGGUGACUAAGUCAUCAGUGCUCCCUCCAUACAGAUGCUGUCCAGAGCCUUCCUAGGAGGAAUGAACCAAGUUACCCAGCAGACACGUGGAUGCAUGCGCAGCUAUGUAAUGAGAAUGCAAACAGACAGACACCAACGAACAGAGAAAUGAACUAGAAAAGGAAGAAUUUUCUCUCAACAGAAAGCCAAAGAAAUGGUGUGUUUGAAAACCGCCUGCCAUCAAACCAUAAUCUAAUGAAGAUCACCAGGGCUGCCAGAAACGCAAGCGAAAGCUAUGCAGAAAACGUUGCUCACAGAGCUGUGAUUUGGAAGGGUAAAAGUGACCCAGGAAAACAUCCAUUUGCUAAUUAUAGAAGGAAUGCUUCAUUUGCUGCGGUCUAUGAUUAGCACAUUAGCUAGGAAAGUAUUUUAGUCGGUGUGGGGAGUGCACACGGUCAGUCCUAAGCACUCGGAAGGCUGAAUCAGGAGGCUCACAAGUCUGAGGCCAGCCUGGGCUACAUAGUUACUUCUUGACCAGUCUCUGCCAUAGAGUAAAAUCUUCCACCAUUAAAAUAAAUUUUUAAUAGCAUUUUGAGGAAUAGUGAUGCCAGACAUUUCAGUGUGCACCUUUUAUCCCAGCCUCCUAGAGCCUGAGGGAAGUGGAUCUGUGAAUUCAAGGCAGUCUGGUCCACAUAGCAAGAAUCUAGUCACUGUCUCAAAAACCAAAAAAGGUAAAAUGAUAAGGUAAAAAUGCUCAAUAGUAUAAUUUCAAGAAGUAUUUGUUUUAAAAAGAGGAGAAGGAAACAAGAAAAGGAGAACAGCAAUCACUAGGUGAUUUCCUUUUAGUUGUAUCAUUCUGUAAUUUUAAAUGCUACACUGUGACAAAAUACACCAGUGUUCUCAGCAGGAGAGGGAGAAACACAGAACCGUAACAAUAAGGGCAGGUGUUGAUACUAAGAUAAAGGCAUGCCUGUCGGGCUCUGUGCAGAGAACGUGAAGCUGAGUCUAAAGCACGGAUGUAGAAAGCCCUGGAGCCCCCGCACUGGUAUAAAAACAGGGAAGAAGUCCAUCAGCAGAGGCAGGAGCACCAAAGCCCAAAAGGCCCAGGAAGGGAGUGCUCAGACACUCUCCAGGUUUGCCCUUACUCAGCUUUCCUCCCAGUUAUCAUUCAGAUGCAAGAACAAGGAUCGUUUGAGCAGCUCACAGAUUCCCCAGGGGCCAUCUAAAGUCAAGCAUUGGUUAUAUCAUAAGCAUGCUGAAAUAAAAGUUAAAAUGUAUUUACUUUACAACAUUUAUUCCUGUGUAUGUGUGUAUAUGUUUGUAGGUCACAGGACAAUGUGGGAACUGAUUUACCCUGUACACCAUGUGGGACCUGGGAAUUGAACCAGGGCUGUUAGACUUGGCAUCAAGCUUCUUUUACCCACUGAGCCAUUUUGCUGGCUCAAAAGUUAAAAUUUAAUCCCAUAUGAACGCUUUCAAAUGAUACAGGUUCUUCUUCGCCUCUACUGAUAAAAUGUAUGUGCAGCUGAAAUGUAUCAGCACACGCUGUCAAAAUCAAAUCCAGCAAUUAAUAAAGAUGCAAUUAUAAUCCAC